UCCAGACUCCUACGGGAGGCAGCAGUGAGGAAUAUUGGUCAAUGGCCGGAAGGCUGAACCAGCCAAGACGCGUGAGGGAGGAAGGCGCAGAGCGUCGCAGACCUCUUUUGCCGGGGGACAAAAGGCCGGACUCGUCCGGUCCUGAGGGUACCCGGAGAAAAAGCAUCGGCUAACUCCGUGCCAGCAGCCGCGGUAAUACGGAGGAUGCGAGCGUUAUCCGGAUUUAUUGGGUUUAAAGGGUGCGUAGGCGGAUUUUUAAGUCAGCGGUAAAAUGUCCGGGCUCAACCCGGGCCGGCCGUUGAAACUGGGGAUCUUGAGUGGGCGAGAAGUAUGCGGAAUGCGUGGUGUAGCGGUGAAAUGCAUAGAUAUCACGCAGAACUCCGAUUGCGAAGGCAACAUACCGGCGCCCGACUGACGCUGAGGCACGAAAGCGUGGGGAUCGAACAGGAUUAGAUACCCCAGUAUG
rnacentral:rRNA from 1 species